rnacentral:misc_RNA from 1 species
UGUAGGAGUGAGCCUGCUCGCGAUAGCGCUGUGUCAGCCCCGAAACAUUAACCUGACACAGCGCAAUCGCGAGCAGGCUCACUCCUACA